rnacentral:lncRNA from 1 species
GGGUGAACUUGCUUCUCUGAGUUCCCAAUGGAUGCUGAUGCUGCUGGUCUAGGGGUCCCACCUUGAGGAUUCAGGUUUGGAGGUGUGGCCAGGUGGACCAGGGUCACGGGCCUGGACCAGACGUCACGGGGUUGCAAACAGGGGAUGCAGUGAGGCACAGGGAGCUUGACGGUCACCCCUGAGUGGGACCAGGGUCCGCCACGGCUUGGGUCCCUGGAUUUCAAGGGUAACUUGCUGGCAAAGCCCCCACCCGGGCUGCGGAUGGAAGGAGAAGCAAGAAGAUAAAUCUUGGGAGAGGAAGGAGCUGCAUCAGGCAGGGAUGCCCAGGCCGCCGGUCCCCGAGGUGGCGGGAUUCACGCCCGGGAAGGUGCCUCUCAGGGCUGCAGUCUGGAGUGAGCAGGGGCAGGCAGACGCAGAGCCAACAUUCUGCGUGGUUCCUUAUGUCAGGUUCAAGAAGAGGCAGCACCGACCUGUGGGGUAAGAGUCAGACGGAGGUCCCCGAGUGCUCCAUGUCUCGGCCUGGGUGGUCCCUCGGGGGUCACGGAUGUGCACUGAUUCCCAGGGCUGCACACUCUGGACGUGUGGACGCUACCACGAGCAGAUGUGUCUUUACUGCACGUUCACCGAGGCCUCCCAUAUGCCAGACCUCCUGCUGGGCUCUGAGGACACAGCUGGGAGGAAGGAGCUGCCCUGACUGUGGGGCAGCCCCCUUGACAGUGCAAGCCAGGGUGCUCAGCAGAGCCCUCGAGCCAACGUGGCCUCGAGCAGGCAGGUGGACGUGGCCGGAAGAUGCAGGUCAGGGCCCGAGAGAUGUCAGCAGGCCUCUAAGACACUCUGGUCAGAUCUCAGAUCUCAGAAAACAAGGCAGCUGCCCUGCCGGGGAGGGCGAAGGAGCGGAAAGGACAGUCCGUGCAGGACAGAAGUGACGUGUGUAUUCGACACGGCUGGAAUGUGAGGUCCAUGCUGGGCCAGAGCCAGAGAUACGGCUGGGGAGGUGAGCAGGGCCGGUGAUGGAGGGCCUGGCGAGGCUGCCCGGUUGGGCCUCCGCCCUCCCGCCACGCGUGAGUGGAUCCCAGAGCCAGACAUCCAGACGUGAUUCUGUGAGAUUCCAUUGAUGGCAAGAUCUCGAGCAGGCGACACCAACGCGUGGGGACCAUGGUCAGAAGGGGGGGCAUUCCUGGAG